CGGGGAGCUUGCUCCCUGGUGGCGAGCGGCGGACGGGUGAGUAAUGCAUAGGAAUCUGCCCGGUAGUGGGGGAUAACCUGGGGAAACCCAGGCUAAUACCGCAUACGUCCUACGGGAGAAAGCAGGGGCUCUUCGGACCUUGCGCUAUCGGAUGAGCCUAUGUCGGAUUAGCUGGUUGGUGAGGUAAUGGCUCACCAAGGCGACGAUCCGUAGCUGGUCUGAGAGGAUGAUCAGCCACAUCGGGACUGAGACACGGCCCGAACUCCUACGGGAGGCAGCAGUGGGGAAUAUUGGACAAUGGGGGCAACCCUGAUCCAGCCAUGCCGCGUGUGUGAAGAAGGCCCUCGGGUUGUAAAGCACUUUCAGUGGGGAAGAACGCCUGACGGUUAAUACCCGUCAGGGAAGACAUCACCCACAGAAGAAGCACCGGCUAACUCCGUGCCAGCAGCCGCGGUAAUACGGAGGGUGCGAGCGUUAAUCGGAAUUACUGGGCGUAAAGCGCGCGUAGGCGGCUUGAUAAGCCGGUUGUGAAAGCCCCGGGCUCAACCUGGGAACGGCAUCCGGAACUGUCAGGCUAGAGUGCAGGAGAGGAAGGUAGAAUUCCCGGUGUAGCGGUGAAAUGCGUAGAGAUCGGGAGGAAUACCAGUGGCGAAGGCGGCCUUCUGGACUGACACUGACGCUGAGGUGCGAAAGCGUGGGUAGCAAACAGGAUUAGAUACCCUGGUAGUCCACGCCGUAAACGAUGUCGACUAGCCGUUGGGUCCUUCGCGGACUUUGUGGCGCAGUUAACGCGAUAAGUCGACCGCCUGGGGAGUACGGCCGCAAGGUUAAAACUCAAAUGAAUUGACGGGGGCCCGCACAAGCGGUGGAGCAUGUGGUUUAAUUCGAUGCAACGCGAAGAACCUUACCUACCCUUGACAUCCUGCGAACCCUUCGGAGACGAAGGGGUGCCUUCGGGAACGCAGAGACAGGUGCUGCAUGGCUGUCGUCAGCUCGUGUUGUGAAAUGUUGGGUUAAGUCCCGUAACGAGCGCAACCCUUGUCCCUAUUUGCCAGCGAUUCGGUCGGGAACUCUAGGGAGACUGCCGGUGACAAACCGGAGGAAGGUGGGGACGACGUCAAGUCAUCAUGGCCCUUACGGGUAGGGCUACACACGUGCUACAAUGGUCGGUACAAAGGGUUGCGAGCUCGCGAGGGCAAGCCAAUCCCAGAAAGCCGAUCUCAGUCCGGAUCGGAGUCUGCAACUCGACUCCGUGAAGUCGGAAUCGCUAGUAAUCGUGAAUCAGAAUGUCACGGUGAAUACGUUCCCGGGCCUUGUACACACCGCCCGUCACACCAUGGGAGUGGACUGCACCAGA
rnacentral:rRNA from 1 species